UAACACAUGCAAGUCGAGCGGUAACAGAGAGAAGCUUGCUUCUUUGCUGACGAGCGGCGGACGGGUGAGUAACGCGUAGGAAUCUACCGAUUAGUGGGGGAUAGCCCAGGGAAACUUGGAUUAAUACCGCAUACGCCCUACGGGGGAAAGCGGGGGAUCUUCGGACCUCGCGCUAAUCGAUGAGCCUGCGUAAGAUUAGCUUGUUGGUGAGGUAAGAGCUCACCAAGGCGACGAUCUUUAGCUGGUCUGAGAGGAUGAUCAGCCACACUGGGACUGAGACACGGCCCAGACUCCUACGGGAGGCAGCAGUGGGGAAUAUUGGACAAUGGGGGCAACCCUGAUCCAGCCAUGCCGCGUGUGUGAAGAAGGCCUUCGGGUUGUAAAGCACUUUCAGAUGUGAGGAAAGGUGUGUGCUUAAUACGUACAUACUGUGACGUUAGCAUCA
rnacentral:rRNA from 1 species